CUAAAUCUAAACCAAAGCAAGGACUCAGAUUCUAAGCCUUAAACCAUGUGGGUCAAUCACUUGACCAAAUUUUCAUUUUUGAAAUUGAUCCCUAACUUGUUGCUUUCUUUGCUCUCCGAAUGCUUCGCUUCCUCUGCAGUUUCGCGGUUCCGAUCUAUAGCUUUGGAGCUGAAGUUUGUGAUAUUGUUUGUUGGUAGGGGAUACUGCCAGUGAGUAAAUUGUUGAAUAAUUCUGAUGCAUGGGUGACUAUACUUUUCAAGAAACUUGCCAUGUGGUGGCCAUGGGUGAGGCAAAUUUUUGCUAUUGGAUAUGCCACCUUCAUGCUUUUAAUGAGGCUGUUUUACUUGGUCAUUUCAUUUCAUUGGCAAGAUAAACUCCUGACUAGCAAGAUUGUAGCAGAAGUUGCUAUUCGCAAGAGUAUUGAUACUAAUGCCAUUUCUGUUGUGGAGAAAUUUCAAAAUAUCAAUAUGACCAUGCCAUUGAUGAGACUAUAAAACUAACAAGGAGCGUUUGAAAACUUCAUGGAUUUCAUUAAGCAUGAGUUUUGUUCAAGUCUUUCAACAAGUGGGUGGAUACAGCACUUUCAACUUAGUUUAAUAUGUAAAGGUAAAGCAUGAUUUGAUGAUUCAUAAUGAGUAUGUUUACAUAAAUUCUCAGUAAAUGAAAUGAGUUUAUGGGUGACAAAAAUGUUUUAGAAAUGGUUUUCAAAUCUGUGAUAUGGAUGUAAAUACUUUAUUAUUUAGUUGUUUUCAAGAAGAAAGGGCAAAUAUUUUUAUGUUUGAAGCCCACUCACUUACUUUGGCCGUUGGGCUAGCGUGGGUAUGAGAUAUCAUUUAUGUUAAUGUAUGAAUGAUAUGAUGAACAUGCUUGAUAUGUUGAUAUAUGUAAUGUAUAUAAUGUAGAUUCCAUAUAUUAUAUAAGAUGAUUGAAUAAAUAUGAUGAAAGUCAUGAGAUUGCCUACAUGAUGUUAAAUUCCAUAUGCCGUAUGAGAUGGCUAGGCUAAUAUAAUGAAUGCUAUGAUGUUGUGUAUAUGAUACAUAUUCCAUAUACUAAUUAAAAUGAGUAGAAUUGUAUGAUAAAUGAUCUAUGCCAGUAUGUGAGGCAUUUUCCACACACUAAAAGAUACAAGUAUGAGUGUUUGAUUGAGUAAAGUAUAAUUCCACUUUUGGGAUAAAGUGGUGACUUCACUCCCAUGAUGCAUCAUAAAUGCCCCAGGUGCAAUGAAGUUUGUAGAUUGUUAGACUAAGGAGCUAUAGGGAUUGUACAUUUUCACUCAAGAUUGAUGGAGGUCGUACCAUCACACUUCAUGAUUUUAAUGAUGUUUGAAUGAUGAUAAUUGAAAUGUUAUUAAGGAAGUUUACUUGUUAA